GCCGCCACCACCAAGCAGAGUCAGGGUGUGAGACGAGAGCCUGAGCUGCAGGCUCGCGACAGCAAAUCCAGCCCAGCAGGUGAGACAUGGAACCUGGGCAGAGCGCAGAAAGCCAGACCGCCAUCCGGUGCAGUGGUCACGUCAGGGAAGCUCAAGUCCCAGCCUGGAAUCCGGAGCCAGACAGCAGGACUGCAGAAGUCCUGUGGGACGUGUAGGAGUGCAGCCACAGCUUCAAGCGCAGCGCUUCCCCCACUUCCUAUGGGGUCAUGGCAAGAUCAAGGCAGGACCUCGGGCUUAAGGGGCCCAAGUAGAGUUAGCAGUGUAUCAAGACAGGAAGUCAGAUGUGAAGAGGGACUGGUAGGGACACUGUUACCGGAACUAAGACACCACUGCUGAGAAUCCAGAGCUCAGCCAAGACAAGGUCCUGACUGGCCUGGUGGCAGACAUGGCUCGGUGUGGGUGGGUUCCACAGGCAGAGGCCAGCGCUUCCUCAGUUCCUCCAGCCUCAACAAGAGUAGUCCUGGAAACCACAGCCAGGUGAGCUGACCAAGCAGCCCCAGCUGAUGGGGAAGAGAACCUGGCAUGGCUUGCACAGUGGAAGCAUCCGUGUGACAAGAUCAAGCCAUAUGGGAAGGCUGAAGGAGUGGGUUGUUAUAGUUUGUGCCAGAACCUGCCUGGGAGCAGGAGCAAAGACUACUGAGCAAGGGCCCAGUGCUCGCAGCACUCUAGCUCUGACAGUCGGCCCGUGUUACUUCCAAACCAGUUUCCCCGUCGACGUCUUGGCUGGAAGGAUGGCUCUGCCUCCCCUACCGGGAGCAACAUCAGAUACUCCUGGGGAGCACUAACUGGAUAGAAGAGAAUCAAGGCCUGAGGUCUGUUUGCUGCCCUUCCUGGAAGAAAGGUGUGUAGGUCUCUAUCCUCCCAGAACAGCUGGGAUCCACGGGGUUUGUCCUUGUGACCUUCUGUGGUCAUAUUGUCCACUUUUGCCCAAAUAAUCACCUCUCCAUCUGCUCCUUCGCCUGCUGCCAGUGAGAAGCACUCCCUCGGGACUUCAGUCUGCUCCUCAUCUGGGGGACCUAGGAAGGUCUGGUUCCCAGUGCUCUGCACCCACAGCUGUCUGUGCUGGCUGGCCCUUCCCCAGCCCCGGCCAGCGGGCCCUUCACACCCUCUGACCUGACCUGGUGCCGGCUUCCCAACUCUGCAGUAGGCCCACCAGGGAGAUGCUUCCUUUCGUCAGCAUGACCAGCAAGGAGUCAUUGCACAACUCUGACCAAGUUCCCAGUCUUUAAAAAAGGAUAGAAGAUGAGCGGUGAACAGGUAACUCUAAUGUGCCCUAGUGCUCAUUGCUGGAAGGUAGUUUAUGCCCUGGGACGGUGACAGGUGAAAGAAUUGUUAAGCUGAUUCCUGCCACACUGGGGUACUCUAGAUCAGGAGGCCCUAAGACGGCUUCCCGAAGAAUCCUGAGGGAUGUGAUGAAGCACUGCAGUUCAAAGGUGCUGGCAGAGGAAGCAGCCUGCCUCUUGGGCUCUUGUUGGAAACGGUUAAUUUCCUGGCUCUUUGUCCCUGGAAAACUGAGCGCCAUCACACAGAGGGUUGGUCAGGCCCCAGCUAUUUCAUUUUGGGCAUCUAAGCGAGUCUUAUAAGGAAGGUUACAGAUGCGUCACGAUUUAGUUUUCUGUCUUGGGGAUGUGCUGUGAGUUCCGGCUGUUCUCUUCACAGUCUAGAGAAGACAGAAAAGGCAGGUGAGUGUCAGUCCUAGGAAACAGAGAUGCUGAAGACAAAUCUGCCAGUACUCACAGUAUCGUAUUGUCCUGGGGAAUGGGGUGGAGCAUGUGAAAGGAAAUGGGAAAAAAAAGUAAAUUUUUUUCCUACAUCAAUUUUAUUUUGAAACUUAGUCAUAUUACAGACCCUCGUACUUAUGAGGGAAAAAACAAGGAAAAACACACCCAAAUACCAUGUAUUUAACCAUGAUGAUUUCUAGGUGGUGGGAUUACAAAGGUUUUUUGUUUUUUACUUUUUAAAUUUUCAAAUGUUGAACAAUAAACUACUAAAAACUUGGAAAAUUUAAAAAUUGUGAUAAUUAAGGAAAGAUGUUAUUUUAAGC
rnacentral:lncRNA from 1 species